CCAAUAGAAUCCAAUUUUGUGCAGGCACCAGGUAGGAAGCUUCACCACCAUAAGCUCAGAAUGAGUCAUGAUUGGUCUAAGCCAAAAGUGGAAAUUGACUUCCUCUUUGACUGAUACUGCUUUGGGGGUAGUUAUAUCAAUUUCUGAACAAUGAGAUGAAAGAGGAAAGUUGCUGGAGACUACCUUGCUAAAAGACAACAAAUGGUGAGGAGAAACCAGAAGAGAGGACAGAGAUGGAGUGACCAUAAAGGUGAAAGGGGGACCAAGAGUGAGCUGUGUCCUGGAAGCAAAGUCAGAAGGUGUUUCUCAAAGGAUGGGUCAUCCUGUGUAUGAGAUUCCUGGCAAUAUGGGAGUGCAGUUUGAAGUGUGGGCAUUGGAGUGAGUUCCUGAGGGGCUGCUUACCAGCUGUGUGUGUUCCAGGGGGAG